UUAUUUUAUACCUUUCAUUUAUUAGAGGUCCCACAUCCCACCUUCCCCAAAUUGUAUUUCAUUUAUUCCAUGCAAAAUAAUGCAGAAGAAAGUGGCAAAUGCAAUAUUCAUUCAUUUAAUUUGACCUGUUUGUAUCCCAUUUUUGAAAGGUAACCCUCAAAACUAAAAUGAAAUUUCAAAUGUUGUGGGUGGGUAGAAAAAAAUAUGAGAAAGUUAACAAAACAGGAAAAUAAGCAAAUAACUGCAGAGAAUCUAUUAUAUCCUUAAUUGUUGAUGGCAAACAGUUCAUUUAAAUUAGACCUAGUAAGAAGACGCCUGGAAACUAUUGUCCAUUUUACGUUUGUGUGCAUAUUCAUCUUUCCCAUUGUUUAGCAGUGAGAAACGUUGCUGUUGGCCUAAGCCCUUGUUAAAGAGGAAGAAUGUCGAAAUCUUUCACCGCGGUUUUCUGUUGCAUUAUGAGGUCGUACAGAAUUUCUCCCACAGAAGGUAAAAUUGGUGGUACUUAGGGAACUGAAACCACCAAAUCUAACACAGACUAUUAUCUGCAGAGAAAAACAAAACAAAACAUGAAUUAGAAGUUUCUGUUAUGAGAUCACUGCCCUAUAUAUUGAUGCAACAAGUAUCUGUGUUCAACAUGUCACAGUUCCUCUUACAUCUUACGUGAAUCCUGAUAUCCACUAACUGGACUGGUAAGAAAAGAUCAAAUGUUUAUCAUUAAAAAAAUACUUCCAAAUAAAUUAUUCAAUAAUAAUUCUUAUUUAAUUUUGGAUAAACUUUUUUAAAUUGUAUGUGUGUGUGUGUGUAUAUAUAUAUAUAUGAGAGAGAGAGAGGAAAACUCUCAAAAACUUGUCUUUUAAGUAUAUUAGUCCAAUAAAAAAGGUAACUUUGUAUACUGCAAUACUGUGGGAUUUUGUGGUGUCUACUGUACUAAUACGGCUAAGCCAAUCUACGCUCUAUAUAUAUAUAUAUACAGCCAUGGGCAAAGUACACCCUCUUUGAAUUCUAUGUUUUACGUAUUAGGACAUAAUCUUCUGUUCAUUAGCAGUUCUUAAAUUGGGUAUGCUUUUUUUAACAAAACUAAAGCCAAAAUUGAGAAGGCAUGUGUGGAAAAACCAAGUAAACCCUUACUGCUUCCAUAGGAAUUAAGAGGCUAAGUAGCAGACAGAUGCUGCUAAUUGGAUGCCCUUGAUCAAUUGACCAUCUCUAUCAGGGCCACUUCAAGGAUUUUUGAGUACAUAAGCAAAGAUGCAUUUGUCCGCCCCACCCCCCUCUAAAAAUAACAUCUUCACCUAUGUGUCUCUUAACCAGCCCCUCUCCCCUGCCCGUGCAUUAGUGGUCCCCUCCCUUCCCUGUCUGUUAGUGUUCCUCUCCCGUCCCCCCUCUUUUCCCUGUCCCUUAGUGUUUCUCUCCCCUCUCCUCGCUGUCCCUUGGUGCACCCCCACCCCCUUAAUGGACACACUCCGCUUCCUGGUGUGCCUCCUACCUCUCUUGUAGUGUUGUCGAGCAGAGCAGAUCCUCUACAGGAGCUUCAGUUUUCUGUUCCCGGCUGGACUGACAGGAAGUGCUCCCUCAGUGAGCACCUCCUGUCAGUCUGGCCGGGCACAGGAAACAGAAGCUCCUGUACCGUGCUCUGCUCCGCUACACUCAGUGGUGUAUACACACUAACAGUCACACACACUCAAUGACAAACACACAGGCAUCACUGACAGACACAGACUCACUGAUCUGACACACACUCAUUCAUUGACAGACACACACAGACACAGACUCAAUGACAAACAUACUCUCACUGAUUUGACAGACACUCACAAACACACACUGACAGACACACACAUGCACACACAUUUAUACAAUCACUCAGACACACACUCAGACACACAAACACACUAACAGACACACAUACACUUACACACAUAAAUUAUUAAUAAUUAAUGUCCACCCAGCCUCCCUACCUGGAGAGCUGGCGUAGACCUGUCCCUGUGGUCCAGUGGGGAUUCACUGCGGUGGGCGGCAGAGUUCCUGUCAGACGCGGCGAGGGAGCUCUAACCUGCUCUGCUCCCUCGCUGGCUGUCUACUGAUAGCGUGAGCCAGAAUAUGAUGUCAUAUUCCGACUCCCGCGGCAUCAGUAAACGGCGCGUGAGGGAGCAGAGCACAGGGGUUAGAGCUCCCUCGCCGCCUCUGAUUAGAACACUGAUGCGCCGGGGAUCCAGAAGGUGGCCUAGCAGGAGGGAGAGCUUCCCUCCUGCUGGUCACUGAAAUCUUGCGCCCCCAGAGCCGGUGCACCCUAAGGCAGCUGACUGUGCCGCCUUAUGGACGCUCCGGCCCUGAUCUAUAUAGAAGGUGAAGUUUUAGCAGUUUUCUGGUCUGAAGCAUUCAAGUGUGUAUCAGCACAAUGCCAAGGAGGAAAAACAUCAGCAAUGAUCUUACAGAAGUAAUUGUUGCUGCGAAUCAAAAUGAGAAUGGUUAUAAGGCCAUUUCCAAACAAUUUCAAGUGCAUCAUUCUACAAUGAGAAAGAUUAUUCAAAAGUGGAAAACAUUCCAUUCAAGACAGUUGCCAACCAUCCCAGGAGUGGACGUCCCGCUUUACAAGGUUUAAAUGAUCAUCUGGGGCUGCCGUAUCUCUCGUGCAGAGAGAACUUGCUGGCAUUUCGGAUAUGGACUGCCCAUACGGGUGGGACCAGGCUGAUAUACUUCAGAUAUGUUCAAUCUGUAAUGGCACUAGUUGAGCUAAAACCAGCUUGAGAUCUGAGCACGCACCCACCCACCGAAGGGCAGGUCAAUUGAGCUGUUGUCCAUUCUCACCUCUCUCGCUACUUAUUUUUCUCUCCCACUAACAUUCACCACAAGGUCAGACUGUGCAAUGCUCAGAGAAAUUUCAAAAAACCCAAGAGUUACAUUUCAGAUUUUAGAGGCCUCAGUUAGCAUGUUAAAUGUAAAGGUUCAUGGCAGUACAAUUAGAAAAAGACUGAACAAGUAUUGUUUGUUUGGAAGGGUUGCCAGGAGAAAUCCUCUUCUCUUUAACCCCUUAAGGACCAAACCUCUGGAAUAAAAGGAAAUCAUGACAUGUCACACAUGUCAUGUGUCCUUAAGGGGUUAAAAAGAACAUGGCAGCAAAGCUUGUACAAACCACAAGACGUCUAGAACAAUGUCCUCUAUACAGGUGAGACCAUAUGCACAGCGCUACAUUUGUCAAAAAUCAAGCAAACCAACUAUCAAGCAUGGUGGUGGAAGGGUAAGGGUGAGGAUUUGGGCUUGGCUUGAUUUGCCGCUACAGUUGCUGGGAACCUUGCAGUCAUUGAGUUGACCAAAGUAUCCUAGAGUCAAAUGUGAGGUCAUCUGUCUGCAAGUUAAAACUUGGCCAAAAUUGAGACCUGAAACUAGACAAGUGAAAUGCUGUUAUGCAGAAAACUAUUACUGCAAGUUACUGCUGCUAAACGUGGUUCUGCAAGAUAUUAAAUCAUAAGGUCAACUUGGUUUUUCACACAUAGAUUUGGGCUUUAGUUUUGUUAAAUCGUAACCCGGUGUAAUAUGUUAUGUGUUACUGUUCAUCUGAGGUUGUAUUUACCUAAUUUUAAGUAACAUAUUAAUUCAAAGCGGGUGUACUUUCUUUUUUCCCAUGACUGUGUAUAGAAAGAGGGUGUACUUUCUUUUUUCCAUGACUGUGUAUAGAAAGAGGGUGUACUUUCUUUUUCCCAUGACUCUAUAUAAAUGUAAAGUUCAGAGAGGGCCAAGGUAUUGAUUUUUAAUACAACUGAAGAGGUGCAGGGUACUGUAGCCACUAUAACCACUUUAUCUCAUUGAAGUAGUUAUAGUUCCUCCAUAGUUAUUCACUAAAGUGCCAAGAAUACAAAGUGAAUUCAAAGUGGAUUUUGAAAUUUAGGCCAAAAUAGCUAUUUUAGACAAAUUCUGCUAGUCAUUAUUAUUAACAGUUUGACUAUUUUGUCUAUAAAUAUAUAAAAGACUAAUAAAUGCAUAUAAAUACUUGGGCAGAUGUUACAAUACACAUAUUACUUUACUAUCAUCAGAUAUUUUCACUCACCGAGUAGAUGCAAAUCCCAAUAAGUGCACAAAUGGAAAUGGUGAUCAUACAGAUUAGUGCUAUCCCCCACCCUGGGACUCCACCUGCAACAAAAAAUACACAAAUGUUAUCUGUCGCACUGAUAGGCAAGGUGACACACGGAGGGCAAAGCCAGAACAAUAUCUACAGGGUCGUUUACUAAGGUUCAAACUCAGUGAUUUCAAGCUGAAUUUAAAGGCAGAAGUAGCAAAUGUGGAAGUUUUCCAAUGAAUUUAUUUUGGUCUAACAUUUGAAUUCUCACUAAAUUGAAUAACUCUGAUGGUCUGCCUGUUUGUCUUUUACUGAGUUUAUUUAUCUGCCUGUGUCUUCUUGUUUCUGCCUGUCUUUCUCUCAGAGGCAUUACAAGGUUGCUUGAACCCCCGGGUGGGAAUGUUUGUUGGCACACCCUCCCCGCAAACUGUAGAAUAUCUAUUUAUUUAUUUAUUGUCCAAUUCUUGCCUUCCCUAACUACAUACAUUGUAUUAUGUACACUCGCGCAUAUAUACACUAAAUCACAUUCCCAUACAUACACACUCCUCUCAUUCACACACUCACACAAUGAUACUUUUGAAAUCAUCGUCUUACUGUCUACCUAUUUUUCUCUGUAACUUUCUCUUACCCUGUGUCUGUCCAUUACUCUGUAUAUUUGUCGUUCUGUCUGUCUAUCCACCUUUAUAUCAAUUUUCUGUCAAUCUGUCUGUCUCUCUCUAUUGUCCACGUGUAUUCAUGUCAUUCUGUCAAUCUGCCCUGUUUACUUCUUUUUUCUGGUACCAGUCACCAUAACAAAAUAAAAUACUUCACAAACUAAAGUGUAGUAAAAAUAAAGAUUUACUGAAAGUUAAAAUGGAUAUAAAAUGAUAUAAUUAAAUAAACUGAAUAUAUUGAAAACCCUCUAUGAAACGAAACUAAAAAAGGUAAAAUAUCUCAGGCUACAAUCAAAUCCUCCUUCAGUGAAGGGAAUCUGAUAAAUAGACAUCCAAACAAACAAUGCUUAUGGGGGCAUCAAAGAAAGAUUCUGAUGCUGGGAUUGAGAUUGGUUGUUAUAUACUAGGAGAUUGGCUGUUAUAUACUAGGAGUCGGAGAUUGGAUGUUAUAUACUAGGAGAUUGGAUGUUAUAUACUGGGAGAUUGGCUGUUAUAUACUGGGAGAUUGGAUGUUAUAUACUAGGAGAUUGGCUGUUAUACACUAGGAGAUUGGUUGUUAUAUACUUGGAGACUGGCUGUUAUAUACUAGGAGAUUGGCUGUUAUAUACUUGGAGACUGGCUGUUAUAUACUAGGAGAUUGGAUGUUAUAUACUAGGAGAUUGGUUGUUAUAUACUAGGAGAUUGGAUGUUAUAUACUAGGAGAUUGGUUGUUAUAUACUAGGAGAUUGGAUGUUAUACACUAGGAGAUUGGUUGUUAUAUACUAGGAGAUUGGCUGUUAUACACUAGGAGAUUGGAUGUUAUAUACUAGGAGAUUGGCUGUUAUACACUAGGAGAUUGGUUGUUAUAUACUAGGAGAUUGGCUGUUAUAUACUAGGAGACUGGCUGUUAUACACUAGGAGAUUGGUUGUUAUACACUAGGAGAUUGGCUGUUAUAUACUAGGAGACUGGAUGUUAUAUACUAGGAGAUUGGCUGUUAUAUACUAGGAGAUUGGCUGUUAUACACUAGGAGAUUGGCUGUUAUAUACUUGGAGAUUGGAUGUUAUAUACUAGGAGACUGGCUGUUAUACACUAGGAGAUUGGUUGUUAUACACUAGGAGAUUGGUUGUUACACACUAGGAGAUUGGAUGUUAUACACUAGGAGAUUGGCUGUUAUAUACUAGGAGAUUGGAUGUUAUACACUAGGAGAUUGGCUGUUAUAUACUAGGAGAUUGGCUGUUAUACACUAGGAGAUUGGUUGUUAUAUACUAGGAGAUUGGCUGUUAUAUACUAGGAGACUGGCUGUUAUACACUAGGAGAUUGGUUGUUAUACACUAGGAGAUUGGUUGUUACACACUAGGAGAUUGGUUGUUAUAAACUUGAAGAUUUUCAGCGAUUUUAUUUUCUUAUGUAAUUCAUCCAGAUUUGUUAUGGACCAGAAAAGGUAGAUUUGAAGCUCUGUACUUUUCAUUACUAUUAAUUCAUUUAUUAAACUGAGGAUUGCAGUAACCGGAGUUAUUUUACAAAUUGUUCACAAUUCUUUAGUUUAUUUUAUAAGCCACUUGAUUUUAUGCAGGACCCAUGCGACAGGCGUUAUCGAAGCUCUUGGAUUCUAUAAAUGCUUUUCUUAUUUUACAGUUAAUCAAGGGAAAUAUAAAAAUGUUCUGCAUUUAACAUAUUUUCAUAGUGAAAGUGUCUUAACCGUUUAACAGUCAUUUCAAUGAAUCUUUGAUUAAUGACAUUCUUACCAGAUUGGCCAGAACCACUUUCUGUUGCUGGUACUGCAGUAGUUUUAGUUCUUGUAGAAGUUGUAGAUACUGUAGUAGUGACUGGAGCUGUAGUUGUAGUGGCAGGAGCUGUAGUAGUUGCGGCUGGUGCAGUUGUAGUUGCUGCUGGAGCUGUAGUGGUGGCUGGAGCUGUUGUAGUGGUGGCUGGUGCUGUAGUGGUGGCUGGUGCUGUAGUGGUGGCCUGUGCUGUAGUGGUGGCUGGAACUGUAGUGGUGGCUGUAGCUGUAGUGGUGGCAGGGGCUGUAGUAGUUGCUGGUGCAGUAGUAGUUGCUGGAGCUGUUGUAGUUGCUGCUGGAGCUGUUGUGCUGGCUGGAGCUGUAGUGGUGGCCGGUGCUGUAGUUGCUGGAGUAGUUGUAGUUGCUGGAGCAGUUGUAGUGGCUGGUGCUGUAGUGGUGGCCGGUGCUGUAGUUGCUGGAGCAGUUGUAGUUGCUGGAGCAGUUGUAGUGGCUGGAGCUGUAGUGGUGGCUGGUGCUGUAGUGGUGGCCGGUGCUGUAGUGGUGGCCGGUGCUGUAGUGGCUGGAGCUGUAGUGGUGGCUGGAGCUGCAGUGGUAUCUAUAAACAUGCAAAAUAUGAUUUGUUAAUAAUGAAGUUCAGAUUGUGGAGUAGUAGCAUAUUAGAUGGAAACAUAAGGAAGAAGUUAAUAAAGACAGAGACCUUGGAAAGAGGGGAGUUUUUCAGGGUAUAUUUUACUACUAAAAAGUCUGCAGUAAAAAACAAAAGGAUAUGAAGAAGCUCUGAAGUAGAGUAUACCAAUGAAGUAUACCAUUGUUUAGUCUGCAGUGAAAAUGUAUGGAAUGUUGUGCUUUCCUACUGCAAUGAAUUGCCACAAACCAACUUUCAAUAUAAUGUUUAACUCCACAGUUGGAAAAUAUGAUAUCUUAUAUGAUGAUUGUUCUUUUCAUGUUACUAUUUGCACAGGCGUUCUCGAUAUUAUGUAAGUGUAUAUAUUUAUGUCCUCAUUAUUAAAUUGAUUUGUUUCCUUUUUUGUGUAUGAAUUAAUGCUGGGAGGCGGUUAUUGUUAAAUAUUCUUUCUAGAUACCUGUGAGUCUGGAACUACAGCAUAUACAGGAUGGGCCAGAAUUCAGUAGAAUUUGACAGGUAAAUAACUUUUUUGUUAGUAGUUAAAACAUUUUAUGCAGUUACAUGUUAUAAUUGAGUCUUGGGAGAUUCAUCAUGGGUUAUCUCAUGAAGGAACAACUAGUAAGAAUUUUGUUUUCAAAACCGAGACAACUGUUCCCCGAGCGAAUAGUUUCAAGAAAUUCCCAGAUGAAUUGGUGGUCACAUUCGCCCGACCUUUCAGCUCCUGAUUACUUCCUGUAGGGAUAUCUGAUGAGAAUGUGUACCUGAACAAACCGGAUACACUUGAGCAGUUCAAAGAAAAUAUAUCUGUGCAGAAAUUCAAUUGCUAGAACCUCAAUCUUUAAAGCAAUCGGCAGAGGUUAACUUUGCAAGGUGACGAAUGGAGCUGAUUCAUUGAUGUUAUCUUCCAUUCUUAGUCAAACAAAUCUCCAUAUGCUAAGCAUUCAUUGUAUGUAAUAUCGCUGAAAUUGGUUUAAUAAUAAAACAAGUUAUUGACACCUCCAUCCCUACUCUGAAUUUUGGCCCACCCUGUAGUACUGUGCACAUUAUAAACUGCAUUAUGUCCUGCUUGUUGUAUGCUUUUUCUAUUCCCUCUGUUUUUCAUAGGCAGGGAUUGUACUGCUCAGGCAUGACACUUGGAGCUAAGAGUAGCUCUUGAUAUUGUGAGUGAUACAGUCUGCAUAUAUAUAUAUAUAUACAUCUUUCAUGCCUCAUAGUUACACUGUGCUUGUUUGUUUGUUUUUCCUUCAUGCAUCAUGUCUUCCAAUUGAAUGCAAUCAUGAUUGAGAGUCAUUUGUACUCCUGAAGAGUAGGAAAUAUUAUUUUGUGAACUUUUAAAGUGGAACGGUCAUUAUAAUGUAGCUUUGGAUGAGUUUAAUGUAGCUUUUUAUGAGUUUAUUGUAUUUAAAUGAUUAAUAAAACCGUACAACAUGGGAGCCCAUUACAUGGUGUAAUAUAAUCUGUAUGACUGCUACGCCUUGAUGCACAGAUCAGCAGUUUCAGGAACUGCCUAGUGCACCAAUCACUAAAUACUAGGAUUAAUGUUCAUUUGAGCAAUGAUCUACUCAGGUUAUCUCUAGAUUUCUAUUUUUAAUUUUUUUUGGUAAAUCUGAGUUUUAUUUGUUAUACAACCGUGAGAUUUGUAGAUCUCCAAAGUUUUUUGUAAUUCAAAAACAAGUAGAAGGUGUUGUCAAAAGUUGAACACAGUUGAUGUAUUUGGUUAUCUGAGCUCGCAGGCCCACAAUGUUGAUGGACACAGAGGUCCCUUGUGGUGUUCCCACUGUUAAUUGUGUAGAAUAUAUUACAGAGAUCAAGAGGGGAAGGGAGGGUUAGUGGUAAGAAUGCAUAUGUGUAUUUUCAAUUUACAACUUCGUUCUUACAUCGAUAGACAUAUUCACAGAAACAUAUUCACAGAUACCGGACAUUUCGCAUGAAUCGUAGUGUGCAAUAAGGUAGUGUUGGAGUUGUCACUACAGGCUAGUUUUGUAGGCUUAUUCAUAGUGCUUGUUGCUUUCGGGAUUUACCCGAUUGGUGUUUUUGUACUGGGUCUGCCGCUAGAGCUGGCUUGGUGUUUCCCAUCUGGUUACUUGUGCGCUCAGUGUUGCUCAUUUUGUGUUGGUUAAACAAAUCUUGGGCAGUCCGUUCGUGAUUAUGGUCUGUGCGUCUUGUGGGAAGUCAUUGAUUAUCCGAUUGAGGUUGGAUGAGUUCUGUAAUUCCUAGAUAUGUGUCAGGUCAUGCUUAUGUUUAAUCCUGCCCAAUAGGGGUGCUGUCUGCGUCAGGCCUUCAUCCCUAGUUUCUCCUCUAGUUUUUAUCAGGCGAGUCCGCCUUUGCUUAGUAGGUAGAGGUAUUCUGAUAAGUGCAGCGAGCUAGGUGGCCAUUGCUUUAUGUUAAGUUCUGUAGCUGCUUUGGCUAACUCUGUGUGUGUGAGUUCAGUGGAUGUGCUAUGCUUCCUUCCACGUGUGUAAUAGGCCUCUUACCAUUUUUGUUCUGCCCAUAUUCAUUUCUUUUGUCUCGUAGUGGGUUUGUCUGUAUGUGUGUGUUGCUCACUGUUCAUUUUUGAUAGAUUUCUAAUUUUACAAUGUCCCAAUAAAUAUCUUAUGCUCUGCUUUGAAAAUGUUAUUCUCUACAAAUUAUUUUUAUGUUCAGAAUAAAUAUAUAUCCUUUGUUAUAUGGGACAACCUUUAUGUAUUGUGAAUUUUUCCAUCUGCCCACAGUCUUAUAAAACGUUCACACAGUAACAUACAGACUGAAGAGCAAUCUCUAUAUAAUUCUGUUUUAGGAUAUUUAAGUAAAGGCAAAUGGGUAUAUUAGAUCAUCUGAAAGUAAAUGUUUCUUACCUGUUGUAGUGUUUUGUGUCAACACCAAAUCUGUAGAAAUUAACAGAAAGAGGAAUUAAUUCCUUAACGCUUUAUCUACAUGUGAUUAAAUACUCAUUAAAUGAUCAUUUAAUAUAUAG